GUCAUGGGUGAUCACUCUCCCAGAGGCUACCUGCAGCCUGAAGCUCCCAUGCUGUCUCUCAGGGCAUUGAAGUGAGAUGGCUACCCAUGUCCUCUUACAUGUUUGGUUUUUUUUUGUUGUUGUUGCUUGUGUUUUGUAAUGUCUGUCUCUCUGCUGGGUUUUUUUUUUUUUUUUUUUUUUUUUUUUUUUUUUUUUGGUAACAACUGUCUCCAAGCUGCAGUAAGCAUGAAUUUCCAACUGGAGAACUGGAGUUAACAAUGUAUGUAUCCUCUUCAUCUUUUAGAUCAAAUUGGCAGCAUAAUUUUAAAAAGAAGUGUUUUACAUUCAUCAUAUAUACCGAUAUUUUAAGAUUUUUCACACUUAAAAGGGAAGAAUUAUGACACAGUGAAGACUCCUUUUGG
rnacentral:lncRNA from 1 species